CAGUGAAAUCAUUUCACAUCAGCAGCAGUGGCGGCCGGUAUAUAGGGGCGCUGUGGGCGGAGCCCCGCCUGAGCUGCGUGAGCCAGCAUGAGCAAAAAGAAAUGUCUAUUAUUUAUCUGAAACUUAUAGUCAAAAUGAGGAAAUCAUGCUAUUAUACCAAUCAUUCCCUUAAAUGUGUAUUUCAGUCCG